CAUUCCAUGAGGAUAGUGUGUAAAAAUACCACCAUUUCCAACACUCUUCUCCCUUUCCCCAUGGCUGCCUAGAAUGAUACUUAAGGACUCAUCUCCCCUCCUCCUCAGAGCUGGGGCUGAAGAAAUGUGGUUGCAAAGCCCAUGUAUAGCACAUAAUAAGCAUUCAAAAAAUGAUUUUUGUAUCGUUCAUUCAUGCAGACAUUUAUUGGGAAUCUUCUGUAUGCCAGGCACUGUGCUUAGCAGUGGGAAUGCAGCAGUGAACAAGACAGAAGAGUUCCUUGAAGGCUUAAAAUCUAGAAGGACUAGACUGUUAUACAUAAAUACAAUUAUGACCAGAUCCAUGAGGUCUCAGCCUGUUAGAGUUGAGAUGGUGUAUCCCUGUGUUGCCCAGGCUGGAAUGCAGUGACUGUUUAUAGCUGCGAUCAUAGCAUACUACGUCCUCAAACUCCUGGGCUCAAGCAAUCCCCUUGCUUCAGCCUGCCAAGUAACUGGGACUAUAGGCGCACUGCUGUGCCUGGCUUUGUGUUUGUUGAAAUAAUUUGAAAGGGUAUGCUGGAAGCAAAUUAAAGUGGUUAUUGAAGCAGA